GGGGGGAGCACCGGAUCUUUGGCUGUGUCCCCCAGCGCCCUGGGCUCUGUGGCCUGCGCUGCUGGAAUCGCGCUCCCAGGGCCGCGUAGCCCCCU
rnacentral:pre_miRNA from 1 species